AGUGGGGAAUAUUGGACAAUGGGCGCAAGCCUGAUCCAGCAAUGCCGCGUGUGUGAAGAAGGUCUUCGGAUCGUAAAGCACUUUCGACGGGGACGAUGAUGACGGUACCCGUAGAAGAAGCCCCGGCUAACUUCGUGCCAGCAGCCGCGGUAAUACGAAGGGGGCUAGCGUUACUCGGAAUUACUGGGCGUAAAGGGCGCGUAGGCGGCGCUCCAAGUUAGGCGUGAAAGUCCUGGGCUCAACCUGGGAACUGCGCUUAAGACUGGAGUGCUUGAGGAUGGAAGAGGGUCGUGGAAUUCCCAGUGUAGAGGUGAAAUUCGUAGAUAUUGGGAAGAACACCGGUGGCGAAGGCGGCGACCUGGUCCAUUACUGACGCUGAGGCGCGAUAGCGUGGGGAGCAAA
rnacentral:rRNA from 1 species